rnacentral:rRNA from 1 species
UACGAGGGGUGCAAGCGUUGUUCGGAAUUACUGGGCGUAAAGUGUGUCUAGGCGGAUUCGUAAGUUAGGUGUGAAAGACCUUGGCUCAACCGAGGAAAUGCGCCUAAAACUGCGAGUCUUGAGUUAUGGAGAGGUGAGCGGAAUUCCUAGUGUAGCAGUGAAAUGCGUAGAUAUUAGGAAGAACAUCAGCGGCGAAGGCGGCUCACUGGACAUUAACUGACGCUGAAGCACGAAAGCGUGGGGAGCAAAC